rnacentral:rRNA from 1 species
AGCGGCGGACGGGUGGUAAUGUCUGGGAAACUGCCUGAUGGAGGGGGAUAACUACUGGAAACGGUAGCUAAUACCGCAUAACGUCGCAAGACCAAAGUGGGGGACCUUCGGGCCUCAUGCCAUCAGAUGUGCCCAGAUGGGAUUAGCUAGUAGGUGGGGUAAUGGCUCACCUAGGCGACGAUCCCUAGCUGGUCUGAGAGGAUGACCAGCCACACUGGAACUGAGACACGGUCCAGACUCCUACGGGAGGCAGCAGUGGGGAAUAUUGCACAAUGGGCGCAAGCCUGAUGCAGCCAUGCCGCGUGUAUGAAGAAGGCCUUCGGGUUGUAAAGUACUUUCAGCGAGGAGGAAGGCGUUAAGGUUAAUAACCUUGGCGAUUGACGUUACUCGCAGAAGAAGCACCGGCUAACUCCGUGCCAGCAGCCGCGGUAUACGGAGGGUGCAAGCGUUAAUCGGAAUUACUGGGCGUAAAGCGCACGCAGGCGGUCUGUCAAGUCGGAUGUGAAAUCCCCGGGCUCAACCUGGGAACUGCAUUCGAAACUGGCAGGCUAGAGUCUUGUAGAGGGGGGUAGAAUUCCAGGUGUAGCGGUGAAAUGCGUAGAGAUCUGGAGGAAUACCGGUGGCGAAGGCGGCCCCCUGGACAAAGACUGACGCUCAGGUGCGAAAGCGUGGGGAGCAAACAGGAUUAGAUACCCUGGUAGUCCACGCCGUAAACGAUGUCGACUUGGAGGUUGUGCCCUUGAGGCGUGGCUUCCGGAGCUAACGCGUUAAGUCGACCGCCUGGGGAGUACGGCCGCAAGGUUAAAACUCAAAUGAAUUGACGGGGGCCCGCACAAGCGGUGGAGCAUGUGGUUUAAUUCGAUGCAACGCGAAGAACCUUACCUACUCUUGACAUCCAGAGAACUUAGCAGAGAUGCUUUGGUGCCUUCGGGAACUCUGAGACAGGUGCUGCAUGGCUGUCGUCAGCUCGUGUUGUGAAAUGUUGGGUUAAGUCCCGCAACGAGCGCAACCCUUAUCCUUUGUUGCCAGCGGUNCGGCCGGGAACUCAAAGGAGACUGCCAGUGAUAAACUGGAGGAAGGUGGGGAUGACGUCAAGUCAUCAUGGCCCUUACGAGUAGGGCUACACACGUGCUACAAUGGCAUAUACAAAGAGAAGCGACCUCGCGAGAGCAAGCGGACCUCAUAAAGUAUGUCGUAGUCCGGAUUGGAGUCUGCAACUCGACUCCAUGAAGUCGGAAUCGCUAGUAAUCGUAGAUC